rnacentral:lncRNA from 1 species
GAACAUUACAGGGGAGGAGAAGAAAAAGAACAACCUACAAAAGAAAAGAAAAAACAAGAAACAGAAAAGGAGUGAGGGAGAUUAUAGAAAAAGAAGCAGAAGAAGUUUGAAAAGCAAAAGAAAAAAAAGAGAAGGAAAAGAAAAGAAAGAAAACAAGAGAAAAAUAGUAGUAAAAAAAAAAAGAAAAUAGGGAACAGAGAAGAGGAAGAAGAAACACACAGUCGAAGGAUUUAGAGUUCGGAUUCCGUUUCGAGUUUUCCUAUAACAGUGUCCUCCUUACUCGGUGUAAUUUAUCACGACGAUUUUUACCCAAUCCUGUAAUAUUAUUUUAUAAAGCUAUUGUGAAGCAAUGCAGGAACAAAGUUCAAAUGGCUCCAUGCACUUGUUUAGUAUCAAAAGUCUCUUUUAUCGUUGUUCGCCAAUUACCUGUGACUAUCUUUUAUAUAGUGCAAUUGAUGUGGAUAUUUGUUGUUAACUAAAUGUGUUCAUGUUACGUGAUGUAUUUUCGUUUGAAUAUAUUUCGUCAACAUGAAUGUCUAUAUUUAGUUAUUAUUCAAAUUGAAGAAGUAAAG